rnacentral:lncRNA from 1 species
AAGCGUUCAUCCUUUAAUAAUAUCUUAUGAGAGGUGCUAUUCACGCGUUCAAAGAUAGAUACUUUUGCAUUUUCUUUGACGGCAAAACACCAAAGUGAUUUAUUAAUUAAUUGACAAGCUAUACCUAGACCAUCCAACAAUCUAGUAUUAUUUAUGGAGAUUCUUUACCUUAGUUUUAUAGAUGUUCUGCAAUCCUCCACAGACCUUUAUUUAAGUUACACGAGCAUCACAAUGGUUCCAGUAAAUACUAUUAUUCCUUGACCAUCCAACUGAUAUGUAUAUACUACAUUAAAAUUUUAUGCUAGAUAAAAUUUAAGAAGUGAUUUAAUUAGGAUCAAGAAAGGCUUAGAGGCAACGUGAAUCACGUUUCUUUUUGUGGAAUAUAUGCAACUAUCAGAGAUUACAUUGAAUAUUUCCCUGUUAAUUUAUUCGAUCAUAGUGAUUAGGUGAAACAAAAGAUGAAAUGACGGUGGCCUUUGUGCACAGAUUAAUUAUCUAAUCGAAUGAGUAAUGAAAAAAAAAACAUUAAUGUCUACUUUGGUAAUAACCUCUCGAAUAGUUUUAUGAUGCUCGAGUGGUUCAACUAAAGGUUCACAUAAGAAUAAAGGUCAUAUAUAGUAUACAAAAACUGAGGCAAAGAAUCCCCAAAUAUAUUAUUUAUCUUUUGGAUGUCAAGGUAUAGCUUUUUAGUUACUUAAUAGUCACUUUGAUUCUUAACUUUCUAUAUUUGGAAACCGAAUUGAAAUAUUAAUAGGGAAGCCUGCCGUAUUUGAUCUAGGAUUGAUACGCAGACUUUUUGAAUAUGAAGGACAAAAUGAAAAUAAUUAAUUAAUUGUAUUUUUUUUAAGUCCGUUAAUGAUUGUUUGUUUCUAGGAUUAACCUUAUUUAAUUUGUUUUUCUUUUAUGAGUUUGAAUUCUAUCUUUAUUUUUUCUCUUCUGGUUAAUACUUAUAUAUGUGUGUGUGAGAGAGACAUAUAAAAAUGAAUUAUCUACUCUCACUACUACAAAACAUGACAAAGAUGACAUGUAAUACAUGACAAACAUACUAUUAAUUGUCAUCUAUUAGUUUAGAUGACUUUUAUUUUCUUUUGGAAGUCAUAUAUUAUAAAAUUGUUUUCACUUAUGACAUAAAAAUGACUCACCACUAAAUAAGAAGUCAUCUUUAAUUAAUUAAAAUGUGACUCUUCUUUUUAAAAUGUGUCAUCUAGUUUGUAGUAUAAAAACGCCACUUUCCCUCUUUAUUUUCUUUGUCUACCGCGAAAUAUCAUUGUCUUUUUGUUUUAGCCUCCAUUCUUUUAUGACUUUCUUUCUCUGUAAAAUUCUCCUUCGCCCAUACAAAACAUCUUCCUAUCUUCUAUUUCCAAGUUCCAAACUCUUAAUUUCACCCAUUAUUUAUAUAGACCAAAAAUCGUAAACCCUAACUGUUCACACAUAGUCGAAGUGAAGACAAAUUGAGAAGAAAUCUGGAAGCUCUGGACCACACAUGUUGGCAAGAAGAUUAUAAAGCUUGGGACCACAUCACUAUGAAGGAAAUUGUUGAAGCAUUCGACUACCUUGGAUAUUGGAUUUUAAAAGUUUCGGUCCCCACAUAAAGGUACUUUCUUUCCUUUUGUUUAAUCAUGUUUGAGAAAGAAAAUGAUAGAUUGUUUGAUUGUGGGUGGCCUACAUGUGCUGUUUUUUUUUUCUUUCUUUGUCUAAUUUACUUUAUUUGAAUAGAAAAUGUUGACAAUAUGGAUGAACAGUAAAAUUAUUUCUGGGGAUUAAUAUUUUAGGGAAGUUACAAAUUUGGUUGAAUCAUGUCAUGUUCCUUUGAAAUUUAAUCAGUUAUCAAUCUCAGAACCUCACGACUUCUAUUCUUGUCCUUCAUAAUCGUCAACUUGACCUCUCCUCUUUCUUUUAAUUGGAUUAUCUUUCUUUUCUUUUCCCCUUCUCUUUUCUUUCAUCUUAUCUUUUACGAAACUGGGAAACCAAAAACGACAAGCGCCAUGUGGGAUUUGUUGCAAAAUUAUAAAUAUUUCAAGUUCUUCAAAUAACUUAAAAUUAAUUUAUAUACACACAUACUUUCUUAUUAAAAAAACUAAUGGAGAAUUAAUAGAAUAAGCCUUUAUAUAAUAUUAUGUGAUAUUACAAUAUUAAUUAAUCAUUUCAUCCUCUUUCCUUUAGCAUCAUAUAGAAUAUUGUAAAAUCUACCUAUAAUUAUAAUCAUAUUAUU